rnacentral:rRNA from 1 species
UACGUAGGUGGCAAGCGUUUGUCCGGAUUUAUUGGGUUUAAAGGGUGCGUAGGCGGCUUUGUAAGUCAGUGGUGAAAUAUGGCAGCUUAACUGUCAGGGUGCCAUUGAUACUGCAGAGCUUGAGUACAGAUGAGGUAGGCGGAAUUGACGGUGUAGCGGUGAAAUGCUUAGAUAUCGUCAAGAACACCUAUAGCGAAGGCAGCUUACUAGGCUGUAACUGACGCUGAGGCACGAAAGUGUGGGGAUCAAACAGG